rnacentral:rRNA from 1 species
UAGGGAAUCUUCGGCAAUGGGGGCAACCCUGACCGAGCAACACCGCGUGAGUGAAGAAGGUUUUCGGAUCGUAAAGCUCUGUUGUAAGUCAAGAACGAGUGUGAGAGUGGAAAGUUCACACUGUGACGGUAGCUUACCAGAAAGGGACGGCUAACUACGUGCCAGCAGCCGCGGUAAUACGUAGGUCCCGAGCGUUGUCCGGAUUUAUUGGGCGUAAAGCGAGCGCAGGCGGUUUGAUAAGUCUGAAGUUAAAGGCUGUGGCUCAACCAUAGUUCGCUUUGGAAACUGUCAAACUUGAGUGCAGAAGGGGAGAGUGGAAUUCCAUGUGUAGCGGUGAAAUGCGUAGAUAUAUGGAGGAACACCGGUGGCGAAAGCGGCUCUCUGGUCUGUAACUGACGCUGAGGCUCGAAAGCGUGGGGAGCGAACAGGAUUAGAUACCCUGGUAGUCCACGCCGUAAACGAUGAGUGCUAGGUGUUGGAUCCUUUCCGGGAUUCAGUGCCGCAGCUAACGCAUUAAGCACUCCGCCUGGGGAGUACGACCGCAAGGUUG